UUUCCGUAGGUAGCAAGUUUGCCUAUCGAGCCUGGGCAGCGACUCUAAAUAUCUGCCUUAGUCGCCCUGGAAUAGGGCUGGCAACGUUAUCAAUUUGCGCUGGAAUACCCUCUUCGAGAGGUUGACCAGGAGCUCCAGAGAUCUCUGGAGUUCACAGAUCAAACGAUGGCGGCCGCUUGGGCGGUUGAGAUAUGAUCGGCCUCUGGCUGUCCCGUUGCUAGAGAUUAGUGGAACCUGCGGAAGGAUCAUUA
rnacentral:rRNA from 1 species